rfam:Candidate division WWE3 bacterium GW2011_GWC2_41_23 TT55_C0001, whole genome shotgun sequence.
GCCAGAGUGGCGAAAUUGGCAGACGCGCAGUCUUCAGAAGGCUGUAUCGCAAGGUGUGUGGGUUCGAGUCCCACCUCUGGCA